rnacentral:rRNA from 1 species
UACCAGCACCCCGAGUGGUCGGGACGUUUUAUUGGGCCUAAAGCAUCCGUAGCCGGUUCUACAAGUCUUCCGUUAAAUCCAACUGCUUAACAGGUGGGCUGCGGAAGAUACUAUAGAGCUAGGAGGCGGGAGAGGCAAGCGGUACUCGAUGGGUAGGGGUAAAAUCCGUUGAUCCAUUGAAGACCACCAGUGGCGAAGGCGGCUUGCCAGAACGCGCUCGACGGUGAGGGAUGAAAGCUGGGGGAGCAACC